rnacentral:rRNA from 1 species
UACGGAGGGAGCUAGCGUUGUUCGGAAUUACUGGGCGUAAAGCGCACGUAGGCGGCUUUGUAAGUUAGGGGUGAAAGCCCAGUGCUCAACACUGGAACUGCCCUUAAGACUGCAUCGCUUGAAUCCAGGAGAGGUGAGUGGAAUUCCGAGUGUAGAGGUGAAAUUCGUAGAUAUUCGGAAGAACACCAGUGGCGAAGGCGGCUCACUGGACUGGUAUUGACGCUGAGGUGCGAAAGCGUGGGGAGCAAAC